rnacentral:tRNA from 1 species
AGUCUUUAUAGUCAAAAAAAAAUGAUAUUAAAUUGCAAAUUUAAAGUUAAAUAAAAUUUUUAAGAC